rnacentral:rRNA from 1 species
CCGUCAGGUAGAGAAUACCAAGGCGAUCGGGUGAACUGUGGUUAAGGAACUCGGCAAAUUGCCCCCGUAACUUCGGGAGAAGGGGGGCCUCCGCUGGUGAUCAGACUUGCUUUGUGAGCUGGUGGGGGUCGCAGAGGCCAGGGGGAAGCGACUGUUUACUAAGAACACAGGUCCGUGCGAAGUCGUAAGACGAUGUAUACGGACUGACGCCUGCCCGGUGCUGGAACGUUAAGGGGACCGGUUAGCGCAUCUUCGGGUGUGCGAGGCUGAGAACUUAAGCGCCAGUAAACGGCGGUGGUAACUAUAACCAUCCUAAGGUAGCGAAAUUCCUUGUCGGGUAAGUUCCGACCUGCACGAAUGGCGUAACGACUUCCCCGCUGUCUCAACCGCAGACCCGGCGAAAUUACACUACGAGUAAAGAUGCUCGUUACGCGCAGCAGGACGGAAAGACCCCGGGACCUUCACUACAGCUUGACAUUGGCGUUUGGAACGUCUUGUGUAGGAUAGGUGGGAGACUGUGAAGCUGUCACGCUAGUGGUGGUGGAGUCAUUGGUGAAAUACCACUCUGGUCGUUUUGAACGUCUAACUUCGGUCCGUGAUCCGGAUCAGGGACAGUGUCUGGUGGGUAGUUUAACUGGGGCGGUUGCCUCCUAAAGAGUAACGGAGGCGCCCAAAGGUUCCCUCAGCCUGGUUGGUAAUCAGGUGUCGAGUGUAAGUGCACAAGGGAGCUUGACUGUGAGACCGACGGGUCGAGCAGGAGCGAAAGCUGGGACUAGUGAUCCGGCGGUGGCAUGUGGAAGCGCCGUCGCUCAACGGCUAAAAGGUACCCCGGGGAUAACAGGCUGAUCUUCCCCAAGAGUCCAUAUCGACGGGAUGGUUUGGCACCUCGAUGUCGGCUCGUCGCAUCCUGGGGCUGGAGUAGGUCCCAAGGGUUGGGCUGUUCGCCCAUUAAAGCGGUACGCGAGCUGGGUUUAGAACGUCGCGAGACAGUUCGGUCCCUAUCCGCUGCGCGCGCAGGAGACUUGAAAGGAGCUGUCCCUAGUACGAGAGGACCGGGACGGACGAACCUCUGGUGUGCCAGUUGUUCCGCCAGGAGCAUGGCUGGUUGGCUACGUUCGGAAGGGAUAACCGCUGAAAGCAUCUAAGCGGGAAGCUCGCCUUGAGAUGAGGUCUCCCACCACGAGAGUGGGUAAGGCCCCCGGGAGACGACCGGGUUGAUAGGCCGGAGGUGGAAGCAUGGUAACGUGUGGAGCUGACCGGUACUAAUAGGCCGAGGACUUGACCAC